rnacentral:rRNA from 1 species
UACGUAGGGUGCGAGCGUUAAUCGGAAUUACUGGGCGUAAAGUGUGCGCAGGUGGCUUCGCAAGUCGAGUGUGAAAUCCCCGGGCUUAACCUGGGAAUUGCGCUCGAAACUACGGAGCUGGAGUAUGGCAGAGGGAGGUGGAAUUCCACGUGUAGCGGUGAAAUGCGUAGAGACGUGGAGGAACACCAAUGGCGAAGGCAGCCUCCUGGGCCAAUACUGACACUGAUGAGCGAAAGCCAGGGGAGCAAACGGG